AUGCCGUCCGUGGCACUGCUGCGCCACUUCUUCUUCCUCCAAAUCAAUGACGGUCACACCUCUGGGUGCGCCAACUUCGUUGCAGCCGGCAAGGCCAACGCGAUCUCGAAGGCCGGAAAGAAGGCCGAGGGCUUCAGGAGUAAGUGGGUCAUGAUGGAUGCCAAGUGUGUCCACCCGCGGUUGAAGCUGCCGACGAAGAUGCCCCAGUCUGACGAGGGGUGGUCCCGCGCGAAGCUUACUGACGACCGGGCGAAGUCAGUGCUGGAGAAGAUGACCACCGACCUGAAGCCGGGCAACGCGAAGGCGGCGAAGCUGACGAGGGCCAUGCUCCUGAGAGAAUUCCUGAUGUUGCGGGUGGCUCCGCUCCAGGCGCGCUCGCGCCCCUUGUGGACGCUUGGGGGCGAAGAAGACAAGCUUCGCUUGAGUCCGGAGGCCUUGUCUGAAGAGGAGCUGGCUGUGGCUCUCCGCCUCUUGGUCGGGGACGACCAAGAGUAUUUGUCGAGUGCCUUCGUUCCCGCGCCCUCGACCGGUGGUGCUACUGAUCCUGCAACUCCGGCUGGCGGUACAGGUGAAGGCGACGCCGUUGAAGAAGAAGCAUCCCUUGCAGCCAACGGUGGUGUCCAAGGAUGA
rnacentral:rRNA from 1 species